rnacentral:misc_RNA from 1 species
GAUGAAGAACGUAGCGAAAUGCGAUAAGUAAUGCGAAUUGCAGAAUUCCAGUGAGUCAUCGAGUCUUUGAACGCACAUUGCGCCCCCUGGUAUUCCGGGGGGCAUGCCUGUCCGAGCGUCAUUGCUGCCCUCAAGCACGGCUUGUGUGUUGGGCCUCCGUCCUCCUCCCGGGGGACGGGCCCGAAAGGCAGCGGCGGCACCGCGUCCGGUCCUCGAGCGUAUGGGGCUUCGUCACCCGCUCUUGUAGGCCCGGCCGGCGCUUGCCGACACAUCAAUCUUUUUUCCAGGUUGACCUCGGAUCAGGUAGGGAUACCCGCUGAACUUAAGCAUAUCAAUAAGCGGAGGA